rnacentral:rRNA from 1 species
UACGGAGGGGGUUAGCGUUGUUCGGAAUUACUGGGCGUAAAGCGCGCGUAGGCGGAUCAGAAAGUAGGGGGUGAAAGCCCAGGGCUCAACCCUGGAAUUGCCUUCUAAACUCCUGGUCUUGAGUUCGAGAGAGGUGAGUGGAAUUCCGAGUGUAGAGGUGAAAUUCGUAGAUAUUCGGAGGAACACCAGUGGCGAAGGCGGCUCACUGGCUCGAUACUGACGCUGAGGUGCGAAAGCGUGGGGAGCAAACAGG